GAUGAACGCUGGCGGCGUGCCUAAUACAUGCAAGUCGAGCGAACAGAUAAGGAGCUUGCUCCUUUGAAGUUAGCGGCGGACGGGUGAGUAACACGUGGGUAACCUACCUAUAAGAUUGGGAUAACUUCGGGAAACCGGAGCUAAUACCGGAUAACAUUUAGGACCGCAUGGUUCUAAAGUGAAAGAUGGUUUUGCUAUCACUUAUAGAUGGACCCGCGCCGUAUUAGCUAGUUGGUAAGGUAACGGCUUACCAAGGCGACGAUACGUAGCCGACCUGAGAGGGUGAUCGGCCACACUGGAACUGAGCCACGGUCCAGACUCCUACGGGAGGCAGCAGUAGGGAAUCUUCCGCAAUGGGCGAAAGCCUGACGGAGCAACGCCGCGUGAGUGAUGAAGGGUUUCGGCUCGUAAAACUCUGUUAUUAGGGAAGAACAAAUGUGUAAGUAACUGUGCACAUCUUGACGGUACCUAAUCAGAAAGCCACGGCUAACUACGUGCCAGCCGCCGCCGUAAGAC
rnacentral:rRNA from 1 species